rnacentral:lncRNA from 1 species
AACAAAAUUGAGCUUUUGGUUUUAAAUAUUUUGUAUAUUUUUCGUGUUAAAAAUAUGGUGGAAAAAGAAGAAAAGAAACUGGCCAUAGGUCGACGCGCACUUAUAUUUAAAAAAUCAUGAUUUUAAGAAAACAUUGUCUGUGUGUAAAAGAAAUCUUUGGAAGAAAACUUUAAAGUAUAAUAAAAGGAGAAAAAUAGGAGUGUAGACAUACCUUUUUAGCUUCUGGAAUUCCCUUA